GGAAAAGAGAACUCUGGCCUGGGCUUUGCUCAACAUCUCCGAGUUCGUUUGCGUUACCGCACCAAACACCCAUAAUGAGCAUUUAUCUCCGUGUCCAGGUACGGGAAUAUUAAUCCGUUUCCCUUUUGAUUGCCGGGAUGGAGUUACCACAGGGAUAACUAGCUUGUGGCAGCCAAGCGUCCAUAGCGACGUUGCUUUUUGAUCCUUCGAUGUCGGCUCUUCCUAUCACUACGAAGCAGAAUUCGCCAAGCUUUGGAUUGUUCACCUUCCAAUAGGGAACGUGAGCUGGGCUUAGACCGUCGCGAGACAGAUUAGUUUUACCUU
rnacentral:ncRNA from 1 species